rnacentral:rRNA from 1 species
UACGUAGGGUGCAAGCGUUAAUCGGAAUUACUGGGCGUAAAGCGUGCGCAGGCGGUUCUAUAAGACAGAUGUGAAAUCCCCGGGCUCAACCUGGGAACUGCAUUCGUGACUGUAGAGCUGGAGUACGGUAGAGGGGGAUGGAAUUCCGCGUGUAGCAGUGAAAUGCGUAGAUAUGCGGAGGAACACCGAUGGCGAAGGCAAUCCCCUGGACCUGUACUGACGCUCAUGCACGAAAGCGUGGGGAGCAAACAGG